UGCCUCGUGGUGUAAUUGGCAACACAGCGGAUUCUGAUUCCGUCGUUCUAGGUUCAAGUCCUAGCGAGGCAGC
rnacentral:tRNA from 1 species